AGACCCGAAACCCGGUGAUCUAGCCAUGGGCAGGUUGAAGGUUGGGUAACACUAACUGGAGGACCGAACCGACUAAUGUUGAAAAAUUAGCGGAUGACUUGUGGCUGGGGGUGAAAGGCCAAUCAAACCGGGAGAUAGCUGGUUCUCCCCGAAAGCUAUUUAGGUAGCGCCUCGUGAAUUCAUCUCCGGGGGUAGAGCACUGUUUCGGCAAGGGGGUCAUCCCGACUUACCAACCCGAUGC
rnacentral:rRNA from 1 species